GAAACUGAGGGAGCAAAUGGAGAGACAGGACACCAACUGUGUCACACAUUGUUCCUGGGAGACUUUAGCACUGUCCUCAGCUUCAUCAAGAGAGAAUAACUGCGAUCUCUGCACAUGCAACUCUCCUGGACUCUGCUUGACCUGUCUCUUCUUUUGGCUAAUUCUAAUCUUUCAUGUGACCUGAUUCUUCCUGGACACUGGACAAGAACCCGGGUGCUGAGAGGGCAGGGGCUGCCACCCUGACCUUCCACUGAGCUGACUGACACUUGGCCAUCUCUGGACAGCAGAGCUGAAAGAGCAUCCAUUGCAACACACUUGGAUGCUGCUGCAGGGCCCACACAGAGCUUGCUCCCACCAGAGAGGAGUGACCGGCUAGUUCUAGCAUUCGUUCACUCUGGUUCCCGCACUCACUCACACACUCCCUUCUGCCAGGAGUGGCCAUCAGCAGGCUGAGUGAAAUGAGCCACUCCAGUUCCUGCCCACAAAGGGGGUCAAGGGAACAAUCCUGUGUCACUAUCAUGAGGAAGAACAAGAGCAGAGUGAUAGUCAUGCUGAGCUCUAGCAAAGCAGGUGGAUGAGGAUGCAGAAAAGCAAGCAGAGUAGCAUGUUCAGAAGGAAUGUAGAGGGGCAAAUUUUAGAAAGUUCCAGGAAUAUAGGCCCCCCCCAUAAUGCAGGAGGGCAGGAAGACAGGUGCAGUGAAAGCCAAUGGGAAAAACCACUAGGAAUUUCCCAUAGGUCCCCCAAGAAGCUACUAGACUCUUUGAUCUCUUAUCUCAUCUCUCCCUCAGCAUCUUCUAGUCUCUCCCUAGGCCAAGGGGGAAAGUUGCAUCCCAAUUUGCACACAGCAUUAAGGGAAGGAGGGAGGGAUCCAGGAACAGGGCUCUGGUCCUUCUCCCAUUUGGCCAGUGCACACAUGCUGGUGAUCCAAAGCAGUGGCAGAUGUGGAGACCCCAUGCUGUCUGCAGGUCCUCAUCACCCCCCAACACCUGUCACAUUCUCAAGUGCCUAGAAUUUUCUUCCCCCCAUGCUGGGGAGUAGCCAAAGGAAAGGAAGCACUCAGCCCAACUCCAAGCUGGAGAGCAUCUUUCCAUCUGCUCUCUUACUUCCCGCUUUGAAAUUAAAAAAUAAAAAUCUCCUUGGGAGUUGCCUCUUGCCCACCACUGCCAAGGGCCAGCCAUAGAGCUCAGUUUAUGAAGUCACUUGGAAAUGUGCAUGUGUUAGAGCUUUUACCUUCCAGAUGCAGAGACCUCCCCAAGCUACAUAGAAUUAGUCUUCCACUGUACGUAGGUGAAAUUCCAUUCCUGGAAUGGAAUUUGAGAGAUGGGGCAGUGAAUGGGGAAGUUAGAGAGGAGGAGAGAGAAGCUUUGGAAUAGCCAUUAACCAGCCUUGACUCUAGGCCUGGGUAUCAGACCUGUCCCUGCUCCAAGAGUGAGGGAGGCAAAGGGUGGAACUGCCCCACCGUCUGCUUUUAUACAGAGCAUGUUUCCACCUUUAAAGACUACCUUUGAAUUUCACCUGCAUAAAUAUAUUAGAAAGAGUAGGAUUUUUGGAGUCUUUCUCUACCAUGAUGAAAGGCCUUGUAUUAGUCUGUUCUGUCAUUGCUAUAAAGAAAUACCUGAGACUGGGUAAUUUACAAAGAAAAGAGGUUUAGUUGGCUCAUGGUUCUUCAGGUGGUAUAGGAAGCAUGGCAGUAUCAGCUUCUGGGGAGGCCUCAGGGAAUUUUACUGAUGGCAGAAGGGCAGGCAUCUUCACAUGGCCAGAGCAGGAGGAAGAGAGGUGAAGGGGAGGUGCCACAUACUUUUAAAUAACCAGAUCUCACUAUCGCGAUGACAGCACCAAGGAGGAUGAUGUUAAACCAUGAGAAACCACUCUCAUGAUCUAAUCCCCUCCCACCAGGCCCCACCUAAAACAUUGAGGAUUACAAUUUGACAUGAGAUUUGGGUGGGAACACAGAUCCAAACCAUAUCAGGCCUAUACCUGUUUAUUAACAAUAGUAGUAAAAUAAGCUAUUUCUCUCUCUCUUACUUCUAAUGAGCCAACCAGCAAGAAAAGCCCAACUGCAAACUCUCUCUAUAAACAUAUGAAACCUUGUCUUUCUGGAGGACUUUGAGGACUGGUCUUCUAGGUGGGUUGCUUCAUAAUCCUGUCCCUAGACAGGGAAAUAUGGUCCCUCCCCAGGUGGGAACCCUGGAAUUUAGAAAACCUUUAUCAAAAGAGCUUUUCCUUUUGCAGUUGUCUUGCAAACGUAUUUGUGUUAAUAGUCUUGAGAGUGAUUGUGCCCAGCUAACCACAAAGGCAUUCAUUUCAUCUUAAUCAAAUGGUUAAAACAUAUUAAAAGCCUGGUGCGGUGGCGCAUGCCUACAGUCCCAGCUACUUGAGAGGGUGAGGUGGGAGGAUUGCUUGACCCCAGGUAUUGGAGGCUUCAUUGUGCAAUGACCAUUUUUGUGAAUAGCUACUGCACUCCAGCCUGGGCAACACAGUGAGACAUUCU
rnacentral:lncRNA from 1 species